CCUACGGGUGGCAGCAGUGAGGAAUAUUGGUCAAUGGGCGGGAGCCUGAACCAGCCAAGCCGCGUGAGGGAAGAAGGUACAGCGUAUCGUAAACCUCUUUUGUCAGGGAACAAAGGCGGGGACUAGUCCCCGGAUGAGGGUACCUGAAGAAAAAGCAUCGGCUAACUCCGUGCCAGCAGCCGCGGUAAUACGGAGGAUGCGAGCGUUAUCCGGAUUUAUUGGGCGUAAAGGGUGCGUAGAUGGCAUAGUAAGUCUUUUGUAAAAAUGCUGGGCUCAACCCAGUAGGGCAAAAGAUACUGCAAAGCUAGAGUAUGACAGAGGCAAGUGGAACUACAUGUGUAGCGGUAAAAUGCGUAAAUAUAUGUAAGAACACCAGUGGCGAAGGCGGCUUGCUGGGUCGAUACUGACAUUGAGGCACGAAAGCGUGGGGAGCAAACAGGAUUAGAUACCCUAGUAGUC
rnacentral:rRNA from 1 species